rnacentral:rRNA from 1 species
CAGUAGCCGCGGGAAUACGAAGGGGGCUAGCGUUGCUCGGAAUGACUGGGCGUAAAGGGCGCGUAGGCGGCGGCCAAAGUCAGGCGUGAAAUUCCCGGGCUCAACCUGGGGACUGCGUUUGAUACUUGGUUGCUUGAGUGGGGAAGAGGGUCGUGGAAUUCCCAGUGUAGAGGUGAAAUUCGUAGAUAUUGGGAAGAACACCGGUGGCGAAGGCGGCGACCUGGUCCUUUACUGACGCUGAGGCGCGAAAGCGUGGGGAGCAAACAGGAUUAGAGACCCGUGUAGUCCCUGUCUCUUAUAC